ACCUUCGUGGUGUAGUGGUCAGCACGCUCGACGCAUAACCGAGAGGUCCGUGGUUCGAUUCCCGGCGAAGGCG
rnacentral:tRNA from 1 species